GAUGAACGCUGGCGGCGUGCCUAAUACAUGCAAGUCGAGCGAACAGACGAGGAGCUUGCUCCUCUGACGUUAGCGGCGGACGGGUGAGUAACACGUGGAUAACCUACCUAUAAGACUGGGAUAACUUCGGGAAACCGGAGCUAAUACCGGAUAAUAUAUUGAACCGCAUGGUUCAAUAGUGAAAGACGGUUUUGCUGUCACUUAUAGAUGGAUCCGCGCCGCAUUAGCUAGUUGGUAAGGUAACGGCUUACCAAGGCAACGAUGCGUAGCCGACCUGAGAGGGGGGAGGGCCACACGGGAGAGGAGACCCGGUCCCGGCACCGAGGGGGGGCCGCGGGUGGGAAUCGUCCCCAAAGGGGGGAAGGCUGAACGAGGAACGGCAGCGUGAUGAAGAAGGGUUUCGGGUGGGAAAACGCCUUUAUGGGGGAAAAACAAAUUGGUAAGUAACGAUGCGCGUUUGAAGGUAAUCGAAAAAGAAAGCCCGGGUAAACAAGGG
rnacentral:rRNA from 1 species